rnacentral:rRNA from 1 species
CGACAGAGGGUGCGAACGGUUGCUCGGAAUUACCGUAGGGCGUUGAAAGCGCGAUGUAGGCGGGUGCGCAAUGUCCGUUGUGAAAUCCCUGGCUCAAACCCAGGAACUGCAUCGGAACUGCGUGUCUUGAGUAAUGGAGAGGGAAGUGGAAUUCCCGGGUGUAGAGGUAGAAAUUGUAGAUAUCGGGAGGAACACCAGUGGGCGGAAGGCGGCUUCCGUGGACCUUU